rnacentral:lncRNA from 1 species
CCCCGAGAUCCGUCCAAGGUGUUGAAAGUAGGCAGAGGCCUAUCCAACCUUUUGAGAGAAAAGAUUAAGGAUUUCCUAAGCAAAAACCUUGACGUCUUUGCUUGGAGGCAUGAGGACAUGGUGGGCAUAGACCCCAAGAUCAGCUGCCACCACUUGAAAAUUGAUCCUAAUGUUGCCCCGCAUAGACAAAAAAUGAGAGCCCUCAACCCCGAGAGGUAUGAGGCCCUAAAGGAAAAGGUUCAGAAGCUCAUCCAAAAUGGCUUCAUCAGGGAGGCCACCUACUCGAGGUGGGUCUCCAACCCGGUAUUGGUUAAGAAACACAAUGGUAAAUGGAGAGUAUGCAUCGACUUUACCAACCUUAAUAGAGCUUGCCCGAAAGACAGCUUUUCGCUUCCAAGGAUUGACCAAUUGGUGAACUCCACGGCUGGGAAUGAGUUGUUGAGCUUCAUGGAUGCAUACUCCGGCUACAACCAGAUCCCCAUGCACCCGGCCGAUGAAGAGCACACCUCUUUUAUCACGGACCGAGGCCUCUAUUGCUAUAGAAUGAUGCCCUUCGGGUUGAAAAACGUCGGAGCAACCUACCAAAGACUCGUGAACAAAAUGUUUACCGACCUCAUUGGCAAGACAAUGGAGGUCUACGUGGAUGACAUGCUGGUGAAGAGCUUAGAGGCAGAAAACCACGUAGCACACCUCAACAAUACCUUCUAAAUCCUGAGAAGGUACAGGAUGAGGCUCAACCCCUUGAAAUGUGCCUUUGGGGUGGCUUCCGGCAAGUUCUUGGGGUACAUGGUCAACCAGCGAGGAAUUGAAGCAAAUCCCGAGAAGAUUGAGGCUCUGUGCCAGAUGAGGUCCCCUCAAAAGCCAAAGGAGGUGCAAAGCUUAACUGGAUGAGUGGCAGCACUUAGUCGCUUCGUCUCCAAAGCAACUGACAAGUGCCUCCCAUUUUUCAAAGUGCUCAAGGCUGGGAAGAAAUUCCAAUGGACUGAGGAAUGCGAAGAGGCCUUCCAAGGACUGAAAAGGCAUUUAGGGCAGGCCCCCCUCCUCUCCAAGCCGAAGCCCGACGACAUCUUGCAACUAUAUCUUGCCAUCUCCAAUGACGCCAUCAGUUCGGUUCUGAUACGAGAAGAAGGGUCCACCCAACUUCCUGUCUACUGUACGAGUAAAGCGCUCCUAUCGCCGGAGACCCGAUACCCCGAUAUGGAGAAGCUUGCUUUGGCCUUAAUCACGGCCUCUAAGAAGUUGAGACCUUACUUCCAAGCUCAUACCAUCCAUGUACUUACAAAUUUUCCCCUGAGGCAAGUACUCCAGAAGCCCGAUGCCUCGGGAAGAUUGUUGAAAUGGGCAGUGGAACUAAGUGAAUUUGACCUUGUGUUCAAAGCAAGGGCAGCCAUCAAAGGGCAAGCUUUAGCAGACUUUGUUGCUGAAUUCGCCAACCUACCCGUGGUGGAUGAAAUCAUGGAGUCCGUCGAACCCCCCACGUGGAGCCUCUUCGUCGAUGGCUCAGCUGGGGAGGUCGGCUCAGGUGCCGGGGUUGUCCUCAUCAGCCCCAAGGGUCACAAACUCACCUCGACCGUGAGGUUCGGAUUCAAAGCCACCAACAAUGUUGCAGAGUAUGAAGCACUCCUUGCAGACCUCAGACUGGCCAAGGAAAUGCAAGUAAAGAAGCUACUCGUCAAUAGUGACUCCCAACUGGUUGUUAGCCAAGUCAAUGGUAAUUUCUCAGCCAAAGACAGAACAAUGGCCUCCUAUCUGAAAAUGGUGAUGAGCCUCAUCCCAUCCUUUGAAAAGUUCGAGUUAAUCCAGAUUCCCCGCAUCGAAAAUGCUCAUGCGGAUGCACUCUCGAAGCUGGCUAGUAGCAAAGACUCAGAGCUACUCACUGUAGUGCCUAUCGAGCACCUCCUACUGCCUUCUACCGAGGCCCCUAAUGUCAUGUGGGUCGGUGGAACUCCCACCUGGAUGCAACCAAUUAUAGCAUAUCUGAAAGACCAGGUGCUGCCCACCAACAAGAAUGAGGCUUAUAAGCUGAGAAGGAGGUCAGCUCAUUUCCUCUUCAUCGAUGACAUUCUCUACAAGAGAAGUUUCUCCUCUCCACUCUUACGAUGCGUCGGAGGAGAAGAGGCUACCUACAUACUAAGAAAAGUCCACGAGGGAGUGUGCGGCAACCACUCUGGAGGCCUAUCUUUGGCACAAAAAAUACUGAGGCAAGGGUAAUACUAGCCUACCCUGAAACGGGAUGCCCUCGAAUUUGUGCGAAAAUGUGAUAAGUGCCAACGGUUCUCUCCCGUUCAAAGACGACCAUCACAGGAUUUGACUGCAGUCUCCAGCCCCUGGCCUUUCUCAAAGUGGGGUGUGGACCUCAUAGGCCCUCUACCAAAGGGUAGAGGAGGUGCAAGUUUUGUAAUAGUGGCCAUUGAUUACUUCACAAAGUGGGUCGAAGCUGAACCACUGGCAAAAAUCACAGAAGCAAGCACCUCCAAAUUCCUAUGGAAGAAUAUCAUUUGCCGGUUCGGAAUUCCCUACUCGAUCGUCUCAGACAAUGGCAGGCAAUUCGAUAACAAGAAGGUUAGAGAACUGUGUGAAGACCUUGGCAUAAAGAAGCACUUCUCUACACCUCACCACCCACAAGCUAAUGGCCAAGUUGAAGCCGUAAACAAGACAAUCAUGCACGUCCUGAAAAGGAGGCUUGAUGUGUCCAAGGGAGCUUGGGUUCAUGAGCUGCCCCAAGUACUUUGGGCAAUUCGAACCACCACUAGGACCCCAACCGGGGAGACCCCUUUCCUCAUGGCUUUUGGGACUGAGGCGAUGAGCCCCGUGGAGGUCGGACUCCCAUCUCCACGGUGUCUGCACUUCAGCGAAGUGACCAACGACGAGCUCCAGAAGCUAGAUCUCGAUUUCAUUAAGGAGAGGAGGGACGACUUCUAGCUGAGGCUAGGAACCUACCAAAGAAAGAUGACAAGGUACUUCAACUCCAAAGUCAAGAAGAAGUCUUUCCGAAUCAACGAUCUUGUGCUCAGGAGGGUCUUCCCAUCCUCAAAAGAACCCGGUUCUGGCUCCCUGGGCCGAACUGGGAAGGUCCAUACAAGAUCAGAGAAGAAAUCCGACCUGGAACCUACUGGAUUGAAGACAUAGACGGCAAGGCACAACCCCGUCCAUGGAACAUUGAACACCUCAGAAUCUUUUAUCAAUGAAUUGUAUCAUGCUGGAUGACUUUCCCAGCCUUUGUAAUAUUUCUAUGGCUCAAUAAAAUGCGUUGAUUAAAUCAUCAUACUGCGUCGUCACCUCGGAGGAGAGGCUCGGGACCCACCUCUGGGCCACCUUGCUUGAACUCCGAGGCGCUAGCACAUGCCUCCCUUUGGCCUUGCUGAACGCCAAGGGGAG